GGAACCUGCUCAGGCAGUUGUACUCGCUAACUAGGCAGUCUGCAAAGCUGAGUUCUGUUUCGUGAUCACUCUUUUUCCUACCUGGGCUCAGAUGGUUUCCAGUCACAUGUCCUUGUCCUCAGGGCCUUGGGUUCUAGGCCACAGUCCCCAGAGCUCCCCUUUGAGCCAUCGAGGGUGCAAGCACUGGAAGCAGGCAGAGAGAGAAGCUAUGGGCAGAGGGGGAUGAGGAUGUGAGUUGUGUACCAGAGGGCGCUUAGAACCCAGCUGAACUG
rnacentral:lncRNA from 1 species